AGAAGAAGGCAUCGCCGAUGCUACAUCUUAUGUUUCCUCACCUCGACGGCAAACAGGCGCCAAUCUAGCUUUAGCAGCUUGAGCCAUGCAGUAAUCUAAAAGCAUUCAGGCUUCGGUGGAACAUGAGACAAAAUGCAAAACCAUCAAUCCCAGUCGUGAAGGUUUUUAAGGAUUGAUUUCUAUUUAAGUAAACUUGCUACACUAUAUCAGCAAAAUUAGAUGCUUUCAUUCCAAUGAUUUAUCUCUAAUAUCACAAACUUAUAAGUACAGAGAAAUUUCUGUUAAAUUUCAGUUCUUUGAACCUUCUGAAAAAUUGUUUCAGAAAAAAUUUGCUACUGUUUAACUUAAAUUUCGGUUCUUUGAAAACUGUAUAAUCAUUGAGGAUGGAAAUAGCUCUUGCAUUCAUUUGAGGCUAUUGUUUAA